rnacentral:rRNA from 1 species
GGAAGCAGGGGAUCGUAAGACCUUGUGCUUUUGGAGUGGCCGAUGCCUGAUUAGCUAGUUGGUAGGGUAAUGGCCUACCAAGGCGACGAUCAGUAGUUGGUCUGAGAGGACGACCAGCCACACUGGGACUGAGACACGGCCCAGACUCCUACGGGAGGCAGCAGUGGGGAAUUUUGGACAAUGGGCGCAAGCCUGAUCCAGCAAUGCCGCGUGAGUGAAGAAGGCCUUCGGGUUGUAAAGCUCUUUCAGUUGAGAAGAAAAGGUUGUGACUAAUAAUCACAACUCAUGACGGUAUCGACAGAAGAAGCACCGGCUAACUACGUGCCAGCAGCCGCGGUAAUACGUAGGGUGCGAGCGUUAAUCGGAAUUACUGGGCGUAAAGGGUGCGCAGGCGGCUUUGUAAGUCAGAUGUGAAAUCCCCGGGCUUAACCUGGGAAUUGCGUUUGAAACUACAAAGCUAGA